AUUGAACGCUGGCGGCAGGCCUCACACAUGCAAGUCGGGCGCGCGGCGGACGAGUGAUUAAUGUAUGGGGAUUUGCCUGAUGGAGGGGGAUAACUACUGGAAAAGGUAGCUAAUUACGCAUACCAUCAGAUGAACCCAGACGGGAUUAGCUUGUAGGAGAGGUAACGGCUUACCUAGGCGACGAUCCCUCGCUGGUCUGAGAGGAUGAUCAGCCACCCUGGGACUGAGACACGGCCCAGACUCCUACGGGAGGCAGCAGUGGGGAAUAUUGCACAAUGGGAGCAAGCCUGAUGCAGCCAUGCCGCGUGUAUGAAGAAGGCCUUCGGGUUGUAAAGUACUUUCAGUCGGGAGGCGUUACCGACAGAAGAAGCACCGGCUAACUCCGUGCCAGCAGCCGCGGUAAUUC
rnacentral:rRNA from 1 species